GCGUCGUGAAACGCCGCUUGAAUUUGUAAAAGGCAAGCAGCUGGCUACCGGUCUCUCAGCUGCAGUCUUUUCUUACGCAGUCAAUGGUUUCCCCGAUCACUAAAGCCAUUUUCAUCGCCCUGUUUCUUUUUGCCAUCCUACUCAUUCUCUAUGUGAUCCUGUGGUACAUAUGCCGCGACGUCGAUAAUGACUACAUCUAGACGGAGGAAGGUCACCGGGCUGAAAUGUCAAGGGUGUAUAAGGUGGGUGUGUUGGUAUUUCAACCCCAUCAGAGGAACUGUCCUUCAGGAAGUGGAGCCUCCUGGAUCACAGUGUGGAGCUGUAUGACAACCACCACAACCAUCAGGCCAUGAGCUGCUGCAGCAGUUAUAAGAUGCAGAGAGUCGCCCACUUCCAUCCAUGAAGACUGGAAAGACUGUUUUCCCCAGAGGUUUGUGAAUUAUGGCUUCCCAGGCUCUGGAGCAAAGCAAGAAAUCAGUCGACAUGAGAGCCUGUCGACAGAUUUUGUCUGGGAGACAAAAUGACACGGAUCCAUG